UGAAAAGUAGGCGGAAAUUUUUUUUAUCUCAAAAUCCAUUGGUCACAACUUUGCCUUACCAGGGCUAUUCACCUCUGCCUCAAUUCCUCUUAUGGUAUUCUCAGCAGCAACAUUCUGAACUGUUAAUCUAUUGUGUGGUGUCUCUUCUUCUUCCUGUUUACUGAUGAACAUUCACUCUCAACUCAACAAAAUUGUCUCCUUUUCAUCUUGAUUAACAGCGACCUAGUGUUAUUUAGCUCUGCCACAAAUCCUCUCUACGUAUCCUCAGCAACAAAAUAUUUAUUUCCUUUUCACAACUUCGAAUGUAAGGAUCUGCCUCAAAUCCUCUGUAAAUAUUCGGAACAGAAACUUCUUUGUUUCCCUCUCUCAACUACGAAUUCUUUUGUAGAUAUCUCUAGAUAACACCUGGUGAAGUUCUAACAACUUUUUGGAUUUUGAAGGUAGAAGUGUCAAGUUAAGAAACAAGCUUUAGAAGAAAUGGACCAAGCUUGUUAUUAGUUUACUAAGAACAUUAUGAAAAACUUGAUAGUAUAUAGUCUAACUCAGAUGUUGGCUAAGUUUUUUUAAAAAAACGCAAUGAAACAAACAUCAUAGCACGUGGACCAAUUUUUGAUUAAUCGAACUCUUAAUCUGUAUCAACUUGUUUCUGUCUCCUAUUAUAUUCUUAGUGAAUCGGAAGUUUUAGUACAGA